GAGGAUCAAAUUUCCGCUUGAUGUGAGGUCAUCUUAGUGCAGAAUGGGUGUUCCCCGAUAUGUUGUUUUUGUGAUCCACCCACCAUUUGUCUCCUCCAUGUUACGAAUUCCUGAUCAUCUUUCCGUGCUGGUUGUUACCUAAGAACAGAAGAAGUUUGUGUGGUUGCACAGACAUGAACGUUUUUGCUUCCUUCUGUUCUCUCUGUGAUGUGUGUGGAGGCAUGACCGCGCUUUCUUCUUGUAUUCUGUUGUCUUUCCUGCACAAACUUACGAGUGCAUAUUUGAAGGGAGGUAUGUUUCCCGAGUGGGUGGAUGCAGACCUUUCUUCUAUGUUCGACGCGAUGCGUUCCUACAUCAUCUCUAGCCUUCUCUUGUUGGUGCUGUUCUCGAGCCGUCUUGGGUUGAGCUUCUCCUAUCAUUCUCCGUCGGAGUGUGCCCUUCAGUCACCCAUGUCGGUCAUGAACUACCUUACCCUUGCCGGCCUCCCUCAGAGCAGCCUACGUGAGGUUAUUAC
rnacentral:lncRNA from 1 species